rnacentral:rRNA from 1 species
UACGGGGGGAGCAAGCGUUGUUCGGAUUUACUGGGCGUAAAGGGCGCGUAGGCGGCGCAACAAGUCACUUGUGAAAUCUCCGGGCUUAACCCGGAGCGGUCAAGUGAUACUGUCGUGCUAGAGUGCGGAAGGGGCUACUGGAAUUCUCGGUGUAGCGGUGAAAUGCGUAGAUAUCGAGAGGAACACCUGCGGCGAAGGCGGGUUGCUGGGCCGACACUGACGCUGGAUGCGGCGAAAGCCCAGGGGAGCGAACGGG